rnacentral:tRNA from 1 species
UGGUGUAAUGGUUAGCACUCUGGACUUUGAAUCCAGCGAUCCGAGUUCGAGUCUCGN